CGCUGGCGGUAUGCUUAACACAUGCAAGUCGAACGGUGUCUUCGGACACAGUGGCGGACGGGUGAGUAACGCGUGAGAAUCUGGCUCUAGGUCUGGGACAACCACUGGAAACGGUGGCUAAUACCGGAUGUGCCGAGAGGUGAAAGGUUAACUGCCUAGAGAUGAGCUCGCGUCUGAUUAGCUAGUAGGUGGUGUAAAGGACUACCUAGGCGACGAUCAGUAGCUGGUCUGAGAGGACGAUCAGCCACACUGGGACUGAGACACGGCCCAGACUCCUACGGGAGGCAGCAGUGGGGAAUUUUCCGCAAUGGGCGAAAGCCUGACGGAGCAAUACCGCGUGAGGGAGGAAGGCUCUUGGGUCGUAAACCUCUUUUCUCAGGGAAGAACACAAUGACGGUACCUGAGGAAUAAGCAUCGGCUAACUCCGUGCCAGCAGCCGCGGUAAUACGGAGGAUGCAAGCGUUAUCCGGAAUGAUUGGGCGUAAAGCGUCCGCAGGUGGCAAUGUAAGUCUGCUGUUAAAGAGUCUAGCUCAACUAGAUAAGAGCAGUGGAAACUACAUAGCUAGAGUACGUUCGGGGCAGAGGGAAUUCCUGGUGUAGCGGUGAAAUGCGUAGAGAUCAGGAAGAACACCGGUGGCGAAGGCGCUCUGCUAGGCCGUAACUGACACUGAGGGACGAAAGCUAGGGGAGCGAAUGGGAUUAGAUACCCCAGUAGUCCUAGCCGUAAACGAUGGAUACUAGGCGUGGCUUGUAUCGACCCGAGCCGUGCCGUAGCUAACGCGUUAAGUAUCCCGCCUGGGGAGUACGCCGGCAACGGUGAAACUCAAAGGAAUUGACGGGGGCCCGCACAAGCGGUGGAGUAUGUGGUUUAAUUCGAUGCAACGCGAAGAACCUUACCAAGGCUUGACAUGUCGCGAAUCUUCUUGAAAGGGAAGAGUGCCUUCGGGAGCGCGAACACAGGUGGUGCAUGGCUGUCGUCAGCUCGUGUCGUGAGAUGUUGGGUUAAGUCCCGCAACGAGCGCAACCCUCGUUUUUAGUUGCCAGCAUUAAGUUGGGCACUCUAGAGAGACUGCCGGUGACAAACCGGAGGAAGGUGGGGAUGACGUCAAGUCAGCAUGCCCCUUACGCCUUGGGCUACACACGUACUACAAUGCUCCGGACAGAGGGCAGCAAGCAUGCGAAUGCAAGCAAAUCCCGUAAACCGGAGCUCAGUUCAGAUCGCAGGCUGCAACUCGCCUGCGUGAAGGAGGAAUCGCUAGUAAUUGCAGGUCAGCAUACUGCAGUGAAUUCGUUCCCGGGCCUUGUACACACCGCCCGUCACACCAUGGAAGCUGGUAGUGCCCGAAGUCAUUACUCCAACCUUUCGGGGAGGAGGAUGCCUAAGGCAGGACUGGUGACUGGGGUGAAGUCGUAACAAGGUAGC
rnacentral:rRNA from 1 species